UCAAAAUAAAAUCACUAUUAUAUAAUCAUUUAACUACAUAUACUAAUAUUUUAAAAAUAAUAAUUAAAAAUAAAAGUAAAGCUUGAAACAACAUGAAAUAAAAAUAUAAAAUUGAGUAAAAGACAAAUCGAACCUAAGACUCAAAAAUAAAACCACUAAUACUUAACCAUCUAACCAAAAGAGUUUAUAUGUCAAAAAAUUUAAAAGCACAUUCUGUAAGAAACAUUUUCUAUUUCUCUUUCCAAAAUCGAUCUAUUUCCUAAAUAACAUUUUCUUAUAUAUUUUUAAAAUCAGCAUUUUUUUUUAAAUUUAGCCAAAGAUUAAGACUAAAUUAGAUUUAGGGUUGGCGUCUAUUUAGUUGUCUAAAUUCAUUAUUAGCCAGAGUGCUUAAAGCCAAAUAUUUCCCACAUUCAAAUUUUCUAAAUGCACAACUGGGGAGCUUACCUUCAUUUACCUAGAGGAGCAUCUGGGCAACAAAGGGUCUCCUUCAAGAUGGGCUUUGUUGGAGAGUAGGUAGAAGUACUAAGAUUUCUAUAUAGAACGAUUGCUGGAUUCCAAGGAGUGUUGCAGUUGGUUGGCAAAAUAGAGUAGAAAAUAGUGAUUUGCAAUUAGUCUCGGAUCUAAUCGAUAGCUUAACUAGAACAUGGAAAAGGGAGUUAGUGAACAGUACUUUUUAUACGGAAACUGCCCAAAAGAUUUUGCAGAUCCCUUUGGCAGAAGCGGAGCAUGAAGAUUUCCAAGUGUGGAAAGAGGAACUUUUCGGAGUUUUCUCAGUACGAAGUGCCUAUAAACUAUUACAAUGUGCUAGCAUGGAUCUUAAUAGUUAUUUAUUGCAGACCGAAACUAAAGAUUUCUUUAGAAAACUAUGGGAUAUACAACUACCAUAAAAAAUUGCAAUAACAGUAUGGCGGAUCUACUGGAAUUUCAACCCUAAAAUGGCCAAUCUAAGUUGCAAGAGAGUGGCUAACAACAUCAUCUGCCCUCGCUGUGGUGUUGGGGAAGAUGAUAGUUAUCAUGUCUUUAGACAGUGUUCUGCAGUCAGAAAAAUAUGGUCAAGUCUUAAUCUCUCUUGGGGUAUAUCCUAUAUGGAUCAAAAUAUUGGUGAAUGGCUUACCUGGUUUUUUGCAAGAGGUACCAAGGAACAGUGCAGGAUCUUUUGUUGUGCAUCGUGGCUCAUAUGGAGCUCAAGGAACCAGUUUGUUCAUGAAAAGAAAUCCAUUUCAGUACGGGAUCUAGUUGAGAAAAUCAGAAGCUAUUUAACUGAACUGGAAGGGAUCAGAGAUAAGAAACUUGCCUCUAUUACCGAAAACACCCAUAGUCAAAUAGGGGAGACAUCGAGAUCAACGGUAUUGUUUGAUGCAGCCUUUGAUGGGAGAAAUUUUCGAUCGGCCUCGGGGGUAGUGGUUCGGGACCAGAUGGGGGUAACGACACUCCAUGAAAAUAUCUCCUCCUCAUUCGUAGCCGAAGCUCAUACAGGGUUAGAGGCCAUCAAGUUAGUAACAUCAAUGGGUUUAUUUUCAGUAAUAAUAAAGGGAGACUCGAAAACAGUUAUUAAGAAAUGUAAAUCGCAAGAAGUAGACAAAUCCGUUCUUGGAGCGAUCAUUCGAGAUAUUCAGAGAAAAAGAGACAGUCUUCAAGAUGUUAUUUUCUAGUUUAUUCCUAGAUCGGAAAAUGUUCAAGCAAAUAACCUAGUGAAAGGAGCACUAGAGAAAAGGGAAGCAUCAUACCUGGUGAGGGAAGGGAGGAGUCACAGCGCAAUAGUUCCGGAAAGAAGAUGGAGAGAAGAACCGGAUUGAUUUGGUUUUUGAAAUGGGGAAAUGAGAAGUCAUGAUAGCUAAUAUCCGGAAAUUCUUAGAAAAGCUAUCUUGGAAUCGGUGUGGCUAUUGACAGGAAGAGACGAUCGAUGUAAUGCUGGCUAGGCUAUCUUUCGAUUUGACUGGGUUUAUUAAUUAGUUUUACUUUUUCUCCAGAUAUUUUAGUUUUUGCACUAAGUUUCCUGUUUUUUGGUUUUUUUCAAUGUUCGGGCUCCUUCUUGUAGUCAAAAGAAAAGCCCAUUUUUAUUUAUUUAUGUUUUUCAUAUGGUCCUGAGCCCAGAGGUUAAUUGUUUUGGGUUUUGUUUUUAAUGUUCUCAAUAAAUAAAAGCCCAGUCUUUAUAUUCCAAAA
rnacentral:lncRNA from 1 species